AUUGAACGCUGGCGGCAGGCCUAACACAUGCAAGUCGAGCGGAUGAAGGGAGCUUGCUCCUGGAUUCAGCGGCGGACGGGUGAGUAAUGCCUAGGAAUCUGCCUGGUAGUGGGGGAUAACGUCCGGAAACGGGCGCUAAUACCGCAUACAUCCUGAGGGAGAAAGUGGGGGAUCUUCGGACCUCACGCUAUCAGAUGAGCCUAGGUCGGAUUAGCUAGUUGGUGGGGUAAAGGCCUACCAAGGCGACGAUCCGUAACUGGUCUGAGAGGAUGAUCAGUCACACUGGAACUGAGACACGGUCCAGACUCCUUCGGGAGGCAGCAGUGGGGAAUAUUGGACAAUGGGCGAAAGCCUGAUCCAGCCAUGCCGCGUGUGUGAAGAAGGUCUUCGGAUUGUAAAGCACUUUAAGUUGGGAGGAAGGGCAGUAAGUUAAUACCUUGCUGUUUUGACGUUACCAACAGAAUAAGCACCGGCUAACUUCGUG
rnacentral:rRNA from 1 species